AUUCAAGAAACGUUUUUCUUUCUCUUUGUUGUAAAUAUACGGAAACUAUCCAAGCCAUAAUAGCAAUGCAAUCUGUAUAAAAGGCAUCGAUUUUGGAUUCGAAAUCAUCUUUCGUUUGCAGGGAACAAAAUGAGGAAAUCAUUGCUUCUACUCUUGCUCGUCAUCGGGAUCCUCGUGCUCACCGAGUCUACGGAUGCCUACUUUCGUCGUCGUCGUCGCCGUCGCCGUCGCCGCCGUAACCAUUGGGUUUGGAACGAAAACUCAAACGUUGAAGACAUCAAAUUGGAUGAUGACGUCGCCAAUGAAGAGAUAAUGCUGUAAUCAAGUUUAAAUAAACGAUAAAGCGCGUGUUAAAUAAUGAAAAACUGAAUAAAUUACCUAAUUAACAAA